rnacentral:rRNA from 1 species
CCUACGGGUGGCAGCAGUGAGGAAUAUUGGUCAAUGGACGAGAGUCUGAACCAGCCAAGUAGCGUGAAGGAUGACUGCCCUAUGGGUUGUAAACUUCUUUUAUAUGGGAAUAAAAUGUUCCACGUGUGGGAUUUUGUAUGUACCAUAUGAAUAAGGAUCUGCUAACUCCGUGCCAGCAGCCGCGGUAAUACGGGGGAUCCGAGCGUUAUCCGGAUUUUUGGGGUUUAAAGGGAGCGUAGGGGGAUUGUUAAGUCAGUUGUGAAAGUUUGCGGCUCAACCGUAAAAUUGCAGUUGGAACUGGCAGUCUUGAGGACAGUAGAGGUGGGCGGAAUUCGUGGUGGAGCGGGGAAAUGCUUAGAUAUCACGAAGUACUCCGAUUGCGAAGGCAGCUCACGGGACUGCAACUGACACUGAGGCUCGAAAGUGUGGGUAUCAAACAGGAUUAGAUACCCUGUAGUC